CUUCCCGCCCGCGGCUCACUCUCCACGGUGAGUUUGGCCUGUGUCUUGUCAUCCGGCGUCUCGCAGCCAAAGAAGCCACGGUCGGCAAAACCUACGUUGUGCAGAACCAGGCGGUGGCGGGCGCCCUCGGCGUGGAUCUCCACGUUCUUUCCCGGCGCCAGGGCCGUCGCGUUCCGUGUCCACCUCAGCUCCGGCCACGGCCGCGUCAGCUCCACCUCCAGGGUCACCGAGCUCCGCUCCUCCACCGUCUGCGGCUCCAGCUUCUUUUUGAACAGCACAGGCGCCUCUGGGGUCGCAGGAGAGGGGAGGUCACGGCGGCCCUCGCCCUCCUCCACGGACAAGCCAAGGUGCAACUGCAGGAUUGUAUCUUCUCUAUACCAAGAGAAGGCACCUGGCCCAUCCAGCCUACCGGAGUCUCCUCUCUGCAGCCCACACACCCCGUGUCUCCUGAGGUCAGCCGGACCAGCCGUAACAGGACAGCAGUUCCAGGUGCCCACUCAGAACCAGCCCACAGGGGAGGUGCCUGUGCAAGGAGCCCUGGCCAGCCAGGCAAAUCCUGCUGCCCCCCACACUCACCUCGGACCCUCAGGGCAGCAGAGGAUGAGGCGCCCUCAGCCUCCACGGUGAUCUGGCCCGCGUCCUCCAGCACCAGGUCUGAGAUGGUCAGGCUGUGGCUGGCGCCACUCUGUGAUAUGGCAAACUUCUCGCUGGGCUGAAGCAGGGCACCGUCCCGGAACCACACGACUGCCACAUCACUGGGGGACACCACGCACUGGAAGGUGGCCUCGCCGCCCUCCUCUGCGACCACGGUGCUCAGCCCAGACAUAAACUUCACCACUCGGGGCACUGCAGACAGGAGCACUGCUUAAGAGGCGGGCGCACAGGACUGGCAGAGCCCUUACGCUGCAGGAGUACCAAAGGCCGCCUCCUCCAGGAGGCUGCCCUGGAUAGGGACACUCGACCCCUUACAUACCACUGACGGUGAGCUGCGCACUGGUGUGGUCAUCACGGCUCUCACACACGUACUCCCCUGCGUCCUCUGCGCGCAGCCCCAACACAGUGAGUGAGCGCACGGGCCCCUCGGCCACCAUCUGGAAGCGCUUGCCCACCCGAAGCUGCGUGUUGCCGCAGCGCCACACCACCUCUGCACACGCUGGGCUUAGCUCGCAGGCCAGUGUCACCGUGCCACCCAGCUCGCCGCACACAGGCUCCAGCAGCCGGCAGAACUUGGCGGCCACCUCUGUGGGCACAAAGGGGACAUCAGCCGGGCUCUUAACAGACCAGACUUGAGCCCCAGCUUCGCCCCUGUCCAGCUCUGGGACAGAGGUGUCUGGAGGAGUCCCCGCCCCACGCCCCAUGCCCGGCUCACCUUCCACCUGCACUGGGAAGUCCUGCCCCUCUGCGCCCACACGGCAGCUGUAGAUGGCGCUGUCCAGAACCUGGGCGCCAUGCACGGUCAGGGUGUGGGUGUCCCCCUGGCUGGCUGUCUCAUGCCGCUUGCUGCGGCGAAUCUCCACACCAUCCUUGAGCCAGGUCACCGUGGCCGCAGAGGGUGUGGCCAGUGUGGCGGUCAGGAUGAUGUCUUCAUGCUCCUUGACCACCAGAGGCUCCCUGCGGCAGGGUCUCUCUGAAAUUUGGGGCUCCAGCUCUGGGUAGAGGAAUUAAGGACCAAAGUCCACUCCGGAGGUGUACAGGACAGCCCAAGUGAGUGGACACCAGCUUUCAAAUGCACCUCCAAGUCCACACCUGUCUUCAAAACGAUCACUAAAAGAGCUGCUGUGUUUUUAAACCAAGUUGACUAAGUGUUACCGCCUCACUGAGCAUGCUGAGGAGUCCCAGAGCCGAACCUCUGCAGCCAGAUGUUCUCAGGGACCCGGGUAUGGAUUCAGGCACUGCGAGGAUCUUGCAAGGACCCACACAGCAGCCUGUCAGCAACGUGUCUUCAGCAGCGGUGCUAGCACUGGGCAUGUGGCAGACCAGCAUCCCGCAUGAGCACCUCUAAGCAUGAGCACAGAUGCAAAUCCAGUCACACAGCCGCAGCAUACUCAACCAGCUGGGCAGCUACAUCUGCUGCUCAUUCCAUGGCCCUCGAAUCUGCCUGAUCACCAAGGGAGGGCUUCCCCAAGCUCUUUGACAUUUGUUAUGUUUGCUUUAGAGAAGGACUCACAAAGUACUUUCAGGGAAACUGUGUCUCUUUGAUAUGCACUUCACAAAAUCACUCACAAUCACACUGCAUGUGGAUGUGUUUGAGAAUGGGAAUGUGUUUUAAUAUGUGUAUGUAAUAUGUAUGAGCAAGUGUGUAUGUUUAAGUGUGUUUUCAUGUGUAUGUGUAUCAUGCAUGUAUUUGUGUGUAUGAGAUGAAGCAUGUGUAUGCACAUGUGUGUACGUUUGUGUAUAUGUGUUUAAAUGUGUAUAUGUAUGUGUGCAAGUGUACAUGUGUUUGAAUGUAUGUAUAUGGUAUAAGUGUGUAUGGGGGUAUAUGUGUAUAUAGGUGUAUGUGGGAGUGAGGUGUCUGUGCGUGUAUAUAUGUAGGUGAGUGCAUAUGUAGGUAUUGUGUGUGUAUUAUGUUUAGGUUUGUGUGUGUCUAUGUAUGUGUGUGUAUAUAUGUCUUGUGUGUUGUUUGUGUGUAUUUAAAUGUAUUUAUGCAUAUGUAAAUGUGUUGUUGGGAUAUGUAUGCAUGUAUGUGCAAGUGUGUGUGUGUGAGUUUAUAUGUGUGUGUGUUCAUGUGUGGGUGGUGUAUGUGUGAGUGCAUGUGUAUGUUGUGCAAGUGUGUGUAGGUGCAUGUGAGUGCACGUGUGCAUGUGUGUACAUUCAUACGUGUGAGUGCAUGUGUGUGUAGGUGUGCAUGUUAGAAUGUGUGUGUGCAUAUGAGUGCAUUGUGAGCAUGUGUGUGCACAUGUAUGUGUAGGCGUGUGUGAGAGUAUGUGUGUGUAAGUGCACUGUAUGCAUGCAUGUGUGUGUGAGUGCACAGGUGACUGCCUGCCUGCAGCUGCACUAGGGAGGAGGCAUGCAGCAGUCUCGGUGGCCCCUCAGUGCAGCUAAGCCACUGAAUCAGGUCCCCAGCUACCUACCUGGUGGUUUACCUGCGACAUUCGCCUGAAUGAGAUACAAAUACCCUCGCAAGGAUGCUUAGACUUGUCUCACGCAAGAAAUGCCAAGGUCUGGGUUCAUUUGCAUAUUUAUAAUAA
ensembl:lncRNA novel transcript, antisense to OBSCN